UGCAGAAAUUUUACAGAAGUUUGAAGAACUCCAGCAACGUGUGUCGCUUCUUGGAGUAACUCCUACUCCACAGGUUAAUGCUAUUAAGGUUAAACUUCCUAGCUUUUGGACUCAUCAACCUAAACUUUGGUUUGCCCAGGCAGAAUCCCAAUUUGAUACAGCAGGCAUAAAGUCAGAUGGAGCUAAAUAUGGCUAUGUCUUGUCCAUGCUUGAUACAACAACAGCCAAGUUAGUUGAAGAUUGUAUUCUAAACCCACCUGCUGAGAAUAAAUACACAAAAAUAAAAGCAGAAUUAAUCAAGAAGCUUUCUAUUUCUAGACCUCAGGAAAUACGCCAACUGCUUAAUGGAGAAGAGCUUGGUGACCGGAAACCUACAGUGUUCCUGCAACAUCUCCGUUCACUGGCAGGAAGUUCCAUGGGAGAUGAAGGCAUUCUGCGAGAAUUGUGGCUACGCCGACUACCAUUAGAGACGUUAGUGCACCUAUCAUCGGCUCAGACCUAUUGGCUGAAUAUUACCUGAUACCUGACUGUCACAACCAACGGCUGAUAGAUGGCAACACAAGGAACUUUGCUCCGGCUACCAUUGCCCAAAUUAAUCAACAAAGCGUCAAGGCAAUCGUUGCAGAGUCACCAUUCUCAAAAAUCCUGCUGGAAUUUCCUGAUAUUUUGCGACCGCCUGGACUCCCACGGAUUGUGAAGCACUCAACAGUACACCACAUCAUCACUACAGAAGGGCCGCCUGUGUCAUGCCGUCCACGAAGACUUGCACCUCAAAAACUACAGGCAGCAAAGAAAGAGUUUGAUGAUAUGUUGAAGUGUGGAACUGCUCGCCUAUCAAGCAGCCCCUGGGCAUCACCCUUACACAUGGCAAGAAAAGGGACCCUGCAGAGCAUGCUCGACAUCUUCGAGCUCUGUUCCAGAGGUUGUCCAAGUAUGGAGUCGUCGUCAACUCCUCGAAGUGCGUGUUAGCCGCAGACGAGGUGACUUUUCUUGGGUAUCGUAUUAAUAAAAACGGCACAUUUCCGCCCUCAGAGAGAAUAGAAUCACUACGAAGUUUUCCUCUACCAAAGACGGUUGAAGGCCUUCGUAGAUUCUUAGGCAUGGUAAAUUUUUACCGCCGGUUCCUCCCAAAAGCGGCUGAACUCCAAGCACCACUCACAAAUGUGUUGGCAUCCUCACAACUAAAAGGGCCAAAGCCGGUGCCUUGGACGCCUGAGCUGGAGCUCGCGUUCAACAAAUGUAAAGAACAUCUUGCCACUGCUACUCUAUUAGCCCAUCCUAUUGAUGAUGCUCAA